UUGCUGGGGUAAGUAAAGUGGCGCACGGGUGAGUAACGCGUGGGUAAUCUGCCCCUGAAUCUGGGAUAACGCUGCGAAAGCGGUGCUAAUACCGGAUGACAUCGAAUUGACUUCGGUUGAUUGGAUCAAAGGUAGCCACUCCAUGGAAGCUACUGUUUGGGGAUGAGCCCGCGUACCAUUAGCUUGUUGGUAGGGUAACGGCCUACCAAUGCGACGAUGGUUAGCUGGUCUGAGAGGAUGAUCAGCCACACUGGAACUGGAACACGGUCCAGACUCCUACGGGAGGCAGCAGUGAGGAAUUUUGCGCAAUGAGGGAAACCUUGACGCAGCAACGCCGCGUGAGUGAUGAAGGCUUUCGGGUCGUAAAGCUCUGUCAAGUGGGAAGAAAUCCCGGGAAGUGAACAGUUUUUCGGGUUGACGGUACCACUGAAGGAAGCACCGGCUAACUCCGUGCCAGCAGCCGCGGUAAUACGGAGGGUGCGAGCGUUAUUCGGAAUUACUGGGCGUAAAGGGCGCGCAGGCGGUCGUGUAAAGUCAGAUGUGAAAGCCCGGGGCUUAACCCUGGAAGUGCAUUUGAAACUGUGUGACUUGAGUAUGGGAGAGGGAAGCGGAAUUCCUGGUGUAGCGGUGAAAUGCGUAGAUAUCAGGAGGAACACCCGUGGCGAAGGCGGCUUCCUGGACCAAUACUGACGCUGAGGCGCGAAGGCGUGGGGAGCAAACAGGAUUAGAUACCCUGGUAGUCCACGCAGUAAACGGUGAUCACUAGGUGUAGCGGGUAUUGACCCCCUGCUGUGCCGAAGCUAACGCAUUAAGUGAUCCGCAUGGGGAGUACGGCCGCAAGGUUAAAACUCAAAGGAAUUGACGGGGGCCCGCACAAGCGGUGGAGCAUGUGGUUUAAUUCGACGCAACGCGAAGAACAUUACCUGGAUUUGACAUCCCGGGAAUCUUUAUGAAAAUAGAGAGUGCCAUUCGGGGAGCCCGGAGACA
rnacentral:rRNA from 1 species